rfam:Triticum aestivum genome assembly, contig: Triticum_aestivum_CS42_TGACv1_scaffold_178774_2DS
ACAGUACUCCCUCUGUCCAAAAAAAGUUGUCCCUCAAAUGGAUGUAUCUAGCACCAAAUUAGUGCUAGAUACAUCCAUUUGAGAAACAAGCUUGGGACAAGUUUUUUCGGACGGAGGGAGUACACA